rnacentral:siRNA from 1 species
AAUUGUGAUCAACUAACCUUGCCA